rnacentral:tRNA from 1 species
GCGCCCGUAGCUCAGUUGGAUAGAGCAUCUGCCUUCUAAGCAGAGGGUCGACCGUUCGAGUCGGUCCGGGCGCGCCA